rnacentral:rRNA from 1 species
UAGGGAAUCUUCGGCAAUGGACGGAAGUCUGACCGAGCAACGCCGCGUGAGUGAAGAAGGUUUUCGGAUCGUAAAGCUCUGUUGUAAGAGAAGAACGAGUGUGAGAGUGGAAAGUUCACACUGUGACGGUAUCUUACCAGCAAGGGACGGCUAACUACGUGCCAGCAGCCGCGGUAAUACGUAGGUCCCGAGCGUUGUCCGGAUUUAUUGGGCGUAAAGCGAGCGCAGGCGGUUAGAUAAGUCUGAAGUUAAAGGCUGUGGCUUAACCAUAGUAGGCUUUGGAAACUGUUUAACUUGAGUGCAAGAGGGGAGGGUGGAAUUCCAUGUGUAGCGGUGAAAUGCGUAGAUAUAUGGAGGAACACCGGUGGCGAAAGCGGCUCUCUGGCUUGUAACUGACGCUGAGGCUCGAAAGCGUGGGGAGCAAACAGGAUUAGAUACCCUGGUAGUCCACGCUGUAAACGAUGAGUGCUAGGUGUUAGACCCUUUCCGGGGUUUAGUGCCGUAGCUAACGCAUCAAGCACUCCGCCUGGGGAGUACGACCGCAAGGUUG